UGAUAAGCCUGUUGAGGUGAAAUUAAAUGGAUAUGGGUAUCAAUACCUGCAGCAGUCAAAAUUAAAUGCUCACCGGAAAUAGCAUCAGUACUGGCACCUACUACCAUUGUCGGGGUUACGCCAUCCAUAGUAUUAGGGUUACCACUUUUCCCAAUACCGGAAAUUUUCCCGUCUUUAAUACCCACAUCUGCUUUAAUUACACCUAAACAGGCAUCAAUGAUGGUAACAUUAGUAAUGACCAGGUCCAAUACACCAUUGUCACGGGUCAGGUUAUUAUUCGCCCCCAUACCAUCA
rnacentral:sRNA from 1 species